GUCAGCAUACUGCCGUGAAUACGUUCCCGGGCCCGUUGUACACACCGCCCGUCACACCAUGAGAGUUGGGGAUACCCGAAGCCUGUGAGCUAACUAUUUAUAGGAGCAGCAGUCGAAGGUAGAAUCAAUGAUUGGGGUGAAGUCGUAACAAGGUAAC
rnacentral:rRNA from 1 species